rnacentral:rRNA from 1 species
ACUAUUAAAGUGAAGAAAUUUUAGUUUUAGAUUAUAAUUUUUUUUAAUGAAUUUAGAAAAUGUUUUUGGAGGUGAAAUUUGGAAAUAUUUUUAAUUUCUUUUAGGAUAAUUAAGAAAACCUUUUAUUAAACUAGGAUUAGAUACCCUAUUAUAUUUGGAUUUAAGAGUAUUAGGUAGUAAAAGUUGUCUUGAAACUUAAAGAAUUUGGCGGUGUUUUAAUCUUACCAGAGGAACUUGUAUUUUAAUUCGAAACUACACGAAGCAUCUUACUAGGUUUUAGUUUGUAUAUCGUCGUAAUAAAUGAAACUUAAAAGUGGACAUUUAGGGUAAUUUUAUUUUGAAUUACAGAUCAAGGUUCAGCGUAUGGCUUAGGAUAAUAUGAGUUACAAUAUUAAAGUAGGUAUAUACGGAAAUAUUUAAUAA